UUACGGCCAUACCACAUUGAAAUGCCGGUUCUUGUACGAUCACGAAGUUAAGCAACGUCGUGCCUGGUCAGUACCUAGAUGGAUAACCGCUCUGGAAUACCACGUGCUGUAAG